AGUCGUCCUUGAAAUACCACCCUUUGUUUAUUUGAAGCCUAACCCCGCAAGGGGGACAGUGCUUGGUGGGUAGUUUGACUGGGGUGGUCGCCUCCAAAAGAGUAACGGAGGCUUCUAAAGGUACCCUCAGCACGCUUGGUAACCGUGCGUAGAGUGCAAUGGCAUAAGGGUGCUUAACUGUGAGACUUACAAGUCGACCAGGUGCGAAAGCAGAGCAUAGUGAUCCGGUGGUUCCGCAUGGAAGGGCCAUCGCUCAAAGGAUAAAAGGUACUCCGGGGAUAA
rnacentral:rRNA from 1 species